rnacentral:rRNA from 1 species
CACGUAGGUAAUCUACCUUCGGAUGGGGAAUAACAAUCGGAAACGGUUGCUAAUACCGCAUAAUGCAGCGGCACCUAAUGGUGACAGUUGUUAAAGCGGGGGAUCGAAAGACCUCGCGUCUGAAGAGGAGCCUGCGGCGGAUUAGCUUGUUGGUAAGGUAACGGCUUACCAAGGCGACGAUCCGUAGCCGGCCUGAGAGGGCGGUCGGCCACACUGACACUGACAUACGGGUCAG